CCUACGGGGGGCAGCAGUGAGGAAUAUUGGUCAAUGGACGAGAGUCUGAACCAGCCAAGUAGCGUGAAGGAUGACUGCCCUAUGGGUUGUAAACUUCUUUUAUAUGGGAAUAAAAUGUUCCACGUGUGGGAUUUUGUAUGUACCAUAUGAAUAAGGAUCGGCUAACUCCGUGCCAGCAGCCGCGGUAAUACGGAGGAUCCGAGCGUUAUCCGGAUUUAUUGGGUUUAAAGGGAGCGUAGGUGGAUUGUUAAGUCAGUUGUGAAAGUUUGCGGCUCAACCGUAAAAUUGCAGUUGAAACUGGCAGUCUUGAGUACAGUAGAGGUGUGCGGAAUGCGUGGUGUAGCGGUGAAAUGCUUAGAUAUCACGAAGAACUCCGAUUGCGAAGGCAGUUCACUGGACUGCAACUGACACUGAGGCUCGAAAGUGUGGGUAUCAAACAGGAUUAGAUACCCCAGUAGUC
rnacentral:rRNA from 1 species